GGGCUCGUAGUCGAGUGGUAAGACGUUCCCUUCACACGGGAAAGACCUGGAGUUCGAUUCUCCACGGGCCCA
rnacentral:tRNA from 1 species